rnacentral:rRNA from 1 species
CCCCUAGAUGUUCUGGGCCGCACGCGCGCUACACUGAACAGUUCAACAAGUCUUAACCUUGGCCGAUAGGUCUGGGUAAUCUUUGAACGCUGUUCGUGAUUGGGAUAGACCUUUGCAAUUAUGGGUCUUCAACGAGGAAUUCCUAGUAAACGCAAGUCAUCAGCUUGCAUUGAUUACGACCCUGCCCUUUGUACACACCGCCCGUCGCACCUACCGAUUGAAUGGUCCGGUGAAAUCUCGGGACGGCGGCUUGGUCGCUUGCGUCCGACUGCUGAAACUUGAUUAAACCAUAUCAUUUAGAGGAAGGUGAAGUCGUAACA